CGCACUUCUGUUCUCUUCUGCAAAUCGAAAAGUUCCUUCCGAGGUUGGAGACUCUUCUGCAGCCAAGGAAAAGGUCGCGGAGCACAUGCGGAGACUCCGAGGUGGAGGAGGAGUCCCCAGGAAAGCGCCUGGACGCAGGUCUCACCAAUGGCUUUGGGGGUGCGAGGAGCGAGCAGGAGCCGGGCGGCGGCCUGGGGAGGAAGGCCACACCCCGACGACGCUGUGCCUCCGAGUCCAGCAUCUCCUCCAGCAACAGCCCGCUCUGCGACUCGAGCUUUAAUGCGCCCAAAUGUGGGCGGGGCAAACCGGCUCUUGUGCGACGGCACACGCUGGAGGACCGCAGUGAGCUGAUCUCUUGCAUCGAGAAUGGGAACUACGCCAAGGCGGCCAGGAUCGCAGCCGGUGAGUCGCCCGGACCUGCCUCCAUGGCUCUCCACACCUCCUGGUUAGCGUCUUAGGGCUCGACUGCUGGGGACUGGACUCCGGCUCAGGGAGCAUGGUGCCCUGUGUGGAGCCCUACCCUGGC
rnacentral:lncRNA from 1 species